rnacentral:rRNA from 1 species
GACGAACGCUGGCGGCGUGCUUAACACAUGCAAGUCGAACGGAAAGGCCCUGCUUUUGUGGGGUGCUCGAGUGGCGAACGGGUGAGUAACACGUGAGUAACCUGCCCUUGACUUUGGGAUAACUUCAGGAAACUGGGGCUAAUACCGGAUAGGAGCUCCUGCUGCAUGGUGGGGGUUGGAAAGUUUCGGCGGUUGGGGAUGGACUCGCGGCUUAUCAGCUUGUUGGUGGGGUAGUGGCUUACCAAGGCUUUGACGGGUAGCCGGCCUGAGAGGGUGACCGGCCACAUGGGGACUGAGAUACGGCCCAGACUCCUACGGGAGGCAGAAGUGGGGAAUAUUGCACAAUGGGCGGAAGCCUGACGCAGCAACGCCGCGUGCGGGAUGACGGCCUUCGGGUUGUAAACCGCUUUCGCCUGUGACGAAGCGUGAGUGACGGUAAUGGGUAAAGAAGCACCGGCUAACUACGUG